CCCUUAGAUGUCCUGGGCCGCACGCGCGUUACACUGAUGCAUUCAACGAGCUUAUAACCUUGGCCGAGAGGCCUGGGCAAUCUUGUUAACGUGCAUCGUGAUAGGGAUAGAUUAUUGAAAUUAUUAAUCUUGAACGAGGAAUUCCUAGUAAACGCAGAUCAUCAAUCUGCAUUGAUUACGUCCCUGCCCUUUGUACACACCGCCCGUCGCACCUACCGAUUGGAUGGUCCGGUGAAGCCUAGGGAUUGUGGUUCUUGCCGCUUUAUUGUGGCGUGACCGCGAGAACUUGUCUAAACCUUAUCAUCUAGAGGAAGGUGAAGUCGUAACA
rnacentral:rRNA from 1 species